rnacentral:lncRNA from 1 species
GGGGGUCAGGGACCCACUUGAGGAGUUCUCAGAGCUCAAACACCAUGCUGGGAGAACUACUGCUCUCUUCAGAGCUGUCACACAGGGACAUUUAAGUCUGCAGAAGUUUCUGCUGCCUUUGUUAAGCUAUGCCUCGCCCACAGAGGUGGAGUCUGUAGAGGCGGUAGGCCUUGCUGGGCUGCAGUGGGCUCCACCCAGUUUGCGCUUCCCGGCAGUUUUAUUUACCUACUCAAGCCUCAGGAAUGGUGGACUCCCAUCCCCCUGCCCGGCUGCAGCCUCGCAGGUCAAUCUCAGACUGCUGCACUAGCAGUGAGCAAUGCCCAUGGGCAUUGGACCCAUCGAGCCAGGCACAGAAGAGAAUCUCCUGGUCUGUCGGUUGCUAAGACUAUGGGAAAAGUGCAAUAUUUUGACGUGAGUGUCCCAUUUUUCCAGGUACAGCCUGUCACGGCUUCCCUUGGCUAGGAAAGGGAAAUCCCCUGACCACUUGUGCUUCCCAGGUGAGGCGAUGCCCCACCCUGCUUCGGCUCACCCUCCAUGGGCUGCACCCACUGUCCAACCAGUCCCAAUGAGAAGAACCAGGUACCUCAGUUGGAAAAGCAGAAAUCACCCGUCUUCUGCGUCUAUCAUGCUGGGAGCUGCACACCGGAGCUGUUCCUAUUCAGCCAUCUUAGACGAAGAGUGUUAGUUUCAAAUUAUAAAACACAUGCAUACACAAUUGAGUUUAUUAUUUUUAUAAUCAAGUGUUAAUUGGCUCUAAUUAUUUAUUUGAAUUAUUUUCCUAUGUGCCCCUUUUCAUCACAUAUUGUUUUCUUCUCCUUACUUGUGAGUUUAUUUUUCCUACUAGUAAACUACAUGCUUUAAAAAUGUUUGCAUUGAGAACAUAAUUCUCUUAGCCUUUGUAUACUUACAAUAUUUUAAUUUUAUUCUCACUCUUAAAUAAUAUGGAGAAUUCUAGGUUAACAGUUAUUUUCCAAUAACAGUCAGAAGAUGUAAUUUCAUUGUCUUUUGGCAUCUAGUACUGCUUAUGAGAAAAUUUUUAGUCAAAUUUUGUUCCUUUUAAAAGAAGUAAUUUUUUUUGUUUGAAACUCAUUAUUGCCAAUAUUUCAGUGUAUAAAAAUGAAGAUUUCUUUCUUCCAUCUUUCCUUCCUUUUUUUCCUUCCUUUUCAAUUUCCUCUUUCCUCUUCCAUUUUCUUUUUUUCUCUUUCUUUCUUUCCUUCUUUUCUUAUAUCAUAAUUAUUGUUCACAGUGUGCAUUCAAUUUAAGCAUUGUGUCUUCCUUUAGUAAUGGGACAUUCUCAACCAUUAUUUUAUUUAGUGUUUCUUCUGUGCCUUUCUCUACAUUUUCUAAUUUGUAAUCAUCUGAAAUUAAAGCUGUAAUUUUAGUUUGUUCCUCACGUAACUUAUUUUUAAAAAACCUUUAUUUCUCUAUGUGUGAUUCAAGGAGUUCUAUAAUAUAAUCUUCCAUUGCACUAAUUCUCUCCUCUAUUGUCUUCAGCAUCUAUUCUGAAGUAAAAUUAAUAAAUUUUACUUUUAUUAAUUUAAGUGAAUAUAUUAAUUUUAGUGACUAUAAUUUGCCUUUUUAUAACUUAUAAUUAAUUUUUGGUUUUAUAUAUGCCUAUUUUAUAUUAAUGCUAUGUUAAUUAAUUUCACAUAAUACUUUUAUUUUUAUUGACAUAAUUUUCAUAUAGUGAAAUGCACAGAUCUUAAAUGCUACAAUCUGUGAUGGUUUGACACAUACUGAAAUUUAUACACAUCCCUACCAUGAUGGAGAAUAUUUCCAUCAUUCCAGAAAAUUCUCUCAUGCUUGAUCCUACAAAACUAGUAAAUGUUCUGAUUUUUUCCAUGAUUUUUGCCUGUUCUAGAACUUUAUAUAAAAGGAGCCAAUUAUGUGUAUCAUCUUUUGCUUUGAAUAAUGCAUUUCACUUAGAAUAACUGUUUUCAUUCAUGUUUUACAUGUAUCAUAAAUUUAUUAAUUUUUAUUGCUGAGUGACAUUUUAUGUUUUAUUAUAUUAGUAUCACAUAUUAUGAACAUAUUUUUAAUUCUUUCUCUUGUUCAUGGAAAUUUGACUUAUUCAAGGUUUGAAAUAUUGGGAUAUGACUAUCCAUGAAUCACUCAUAUUUUCAUAUAUCUAGUAAUUAAUGGUCAACUUGUUUUGGACUGUCCUUUAAAAAAUGUUCGUAUAAGCACAUCCCCAUGGAAAAUGAGACAUUGAUUCCACCUGGAACUGAUUAAUUUACUUUCCAGGGUAACACAUAUAGAGAUAUCUCUCUCUUCUUGGAGCAGAGUUACUUACAUUGCAGAAAAAUAAAGGUAAAAUCUCUCUCCAGUGGGGAAGAGGGACAGAUUUACUUUCAGCCUCUGUAUAAGAUCAGGCUCCACUAAUCUCAAGGGUUUUCUCCUAUAAUACAUCUUCACUGCAUGUGCAGGCAACAUCCGUCCCCAUCAAAUUACCCUGUGGGAAUUGGCACUCAAAGAACUGGUGCCAAGAUGUUACUCUUGCUGAUUGUAUUGCUGUAACAAACCAUCUUUUCUUCUAACCAAGAGGUCUCAUGUCUUUUUUCCAAUGUAUAUGAACGUAUGUAAGACUAACUGCCCUUCAUUAUUCUUUGCACAUUUCCUUACUUUGAAAAAAAGACAUUCUAGGUUUAUCUUUAAUUUCCCUGUUUCAUUCCUGAACUAACAUAUUUCUCUAAGAUAUCCUUAUUAGUUUUAGAGGAAACAGCUCCUCCAAAUGAAAAUUUGGUGCUAGAUCCACUUAUUGAUAGAGAGACAUGAUUGCUUCUAGAACCUGUCAGCAUAACAAGAUGCAGGGAUUCUCAAGAGAGGUGAAACUCAAGGAAAUGUCAUUUACUGCUCUAGUUUUCUCAAACUUUACACAAUCCACAAGCAUAUUGGAACAAAAAUGGUGGGGAACGUAAGAGAGAGACUGGAAAAAAUGCUCAUCAGAGUAAAGAGCAGAAGAAAGAAAUGGAUGAAGUGGAUAUAAGACCUGUCCUGCUACACAAACAAUAUUAAGGUAAGCUGCUGUGCUGUGAGACGGACACAUGUCAAGGAAUUGAAGAGGCCUCUAAGAGUUAAAAGUGGAACCUGAUUGACAGCCAGUCAAAUUGAGACUGCAGUCCUACAACUUCAAGCAACUUAAUUCUGCCAACAAGCAUAUGUGCAUGUAAGAAGACCACGAGCUCCAGAAAAUAAUGCAGCCCAUCCAAGAAUGCAGUCUAUCCAAGACUGAGACCUUGAAAAGAAGACCCACCUAAGUGCUGUGUCACCUAAUCCACAGAAACUAUGAGAUAAUAAAUGUUUGUUAAGUCACUAACAUCGUGAUAAUUUGCUCUGCAGCAAUAGAAAACUCCUACACUAACUAAACCUAAAAUUAAGACCCAGAAGAAUUAAACAGUUCCUAAGUAACUUUGCUAUGUCUGAGAAUAAAGUUCAAAGAUACUUAUAAGCAUACAAGUCCCAAAAUCCAACAAGAUGAAGUUUACAAUGUCUGACAACCAAUGAAAAUUACCAGUGAUACACAAAACAAGAAAAUGAAAAACCAUGGUUAAAAAAAAGAGAGACACUGACACAGAAAUAACACAAAUCAUAGAAUUAAUACACAAAUACAUUAAAGCAGUUACUAAGGCUGUAUUUCUUGUAUUAGGAAAACUGGAAGAAGUAACAUGGAAAAUAUAAAAGAGAUUUAAACCUAAAUUCCAGAGGUAAGAAAAAUAAUGUGUGACUUGAAAAAUACCCUACAAAAAAUUGAAGCUACAUUAAACAUUUCUGGUGACCUACAGGACAAUUUCAAAGAGCCAAAUAUAUGAGUUAUAAAAUUCCAAAAGAGAGAUAUCCAAAAUAAUAAAAAUUGAAAAAAUAAUUGCCAACAGUAUUUUUAAAAUUUGAUGAAAACUAUAAAGCCAUAGAUCUAAGAAAUUAAAUGAAUCUCAACUAGAAGAAUUUUUUUCAAAAACCAACACCAAAACACAUUAUUGUAAAACUGCUUAAUAUCAGCAGUUAAAUUGGGAAAACAAACAAAACAAUCUACAAAGAUCGAGAAGAAAAAGUUACCUUAUAUAUGGAAAAACAAAGAUAAGAAUGACAGAAGCAGAUUUCUUGUCAGACAACACAAGUUAGAAGACAGUAGAGCAACAUUUUUAAAGUGCUGAAAGGAAAAAGUAAACUAGCAUUCCUAUGCAUUUAAGCUCUCUUUCUAAAAACAAAAAUGUAAUAAAAGCUUUUUUACACAAACAAAAGCUUGAAAUAAUUAUUAGCAAACUUGCACUACAAUAAAUGUUGAGGGAAGUCCUUCUGUGUAAAGGAAAAUAACAAACAGAAACUUAUUUCUACAUAAAGGUACAAAGAGUGUCAGAAAUGGUAAUGACAUAAUUAAAACGGCAUAAAUCUAGAGCAUUUUUCUUACUAUUUAAAUAUCUGAUGAAGAUAAUCUUUGACAGUAAAAACAAUAAUGUGUUAUAGGGAUUAUAAUAUGCAGAUGUAAAAUGUAUGAUAACAAUAACAUAAAUUCUAGGAGAGGAAAAAUAAAGGAUUUUUCAGAUGGCCUUUAUACUAUAUAAUAAGUUGUAUAUUAUCAUUUGAAAGUACAUUAUGAUGAGUUACCCGUGAAUCUUAUAACCCCUAAAAUAAUAAACAUGAUAAGACAAGAAGUUAUAACUAAUACAACAAAAUAUGAAAAAAUAAUAGUACAAAUUACUUAAAUAAUCCAAAGGUAGGAAUAAAAAUAGAUUUAAAGAGGAAUACAGAUAAAUGGGACAAAUAGGACACAAAUAGCAAGAUGACAGACACAACUAAGGACCUAUACUAAUAAUCAUUAAGUGUUAUCCGAAAAAUAUCUAAACAUCCCAAUUAAAUGCAGAGUUUUUUUAACUGGCUACAGAAAC